GCCAGGCGUGGUGGCGCAUGCCUGUAGUCCCAGCUACUCAGGAGGCUGAGGUGGGAGGAUCACGAGUCCAGGAGUUCUGGGCUGCAGUGCGCUAUGCUGAUCGGGUGCCCGCACUAAGUUCAGCAUCGAUAUGGUGAACUCUUGGGAGCAGGGGACCACCAGGUUGCCUAAAGAGGGGUGAACCGGCCCAGGUUGCAAAUGGAGCAGAUCAAAACUCCCAUGCUGAUCAGUAGUGGGAUCGCGCUUGUGAAUAGCCACUGCACUCCAGCCUGGGCAAUACAGCGAGACCCUGUCUCUA
ensembl:misc_RNA Metazoa_SRP Metazoan signal recognition particle RNA